ensembl:lincRNA
AUGCUUGUCUAUCGAGCAGACGAUGGAGGGGACAGCAGAAGUAAAGGCUUCCAGGAAUGUGUGCAGCGCAUGCGAGGGUGGGAGGAAGCCCGCUUCUCUCUGGACCACGCGUCUUCGCCUGCAGCCCAGCUGGGCCCGAGCCUGACAGAUGGGGAAACCGAGCUUCCACAGCCCGGCCCAGAGGGUCAGGGCUCCAGCAACCACCCACACCUGAGCGUGAGUGGGUGUCCCCGGUCUGUCCACUUGGUGACCCCUAGGCCUGGAGGCAGAGCCAGGCCAGGGCUGAGCCUGGGGUGGGCCCAGGUUGGGUCGGGCCCAGCGCAGCCUCUGGCCAGGCCUGGCUCCCUGCAGGGCACUGGGUUGCACAACCACCCACCCCCGGCUUUGACCGGGGUGGUGACACACUCUAGGAGCCACCCUUUGACCAUGCGCCUGGUCACACCACGGGGCCCUGGUCAGUGGCGACACGCCCCUGCUCAGCCUGACUUGCAUUCUGCUCCCUGUGCUGCCGUUUCCUGGCUGUGUGACUCUGGGCAAGUCACUUCCCCUCGCUGAGCCUCAAUUUCCUCUUUGGGAAGACGAGAUAAUAAUAGUCCGUGGUCUCCUGGCUGUUGGGGGAAUGUGCUGUGUCCCUGCAACACCAGCCCUCUGGCUCUUCCUCAAAAUGACCCAGGUGCUUGCCACCCCAGGGCCUUUGCACGUACCAUGUCCUCUGCCCAGAGCACUUGGCCGAGGCCAGCUUGCUCUCAUACCUCCUCUAGGGCUCUGUUCAACAUCAUGGCCAGGGAGGCCCUGGCCCCCGCACCCCUCCUCGCUGCACUGGUCUCUGUAGUCCUUGCUACUGCCUGAUGCACCGUGAUUUUCCUUACUGCUGAUCCUUCCAGGAUGGAGGCUCCAGUUUUGACUCUGUCAUGAUUGCGUCUCUUGCCUGCAACAGUGUAGUUGGCACAAGAAGGUGCUCCGGAAAGAACUGUGACGUGAGUGAAUAAGUGAGUGAAUGAACAAGAAUUGCCUGUACCAGGUCCUGCACUUAGUACGUACUUGAUACCCAGCCAGUGUGUCUGUGGUGCUGGGGACUGCAGCGGGGCUGCCGCUGAGUUACAUCCUCAGGCCCCUUUUAAUUUUUUUUUUUCACAUUUUGAGACAGGGUCUCACUAAGUCACCAGGUUGCCCAGGCUGGACUUGUGAUCCUCCUGCCUCAGCCUCCCUGUGUGCUGGGAUUGCGGCAGGCAGCGGCUCGCCCGGCCUCCAGGCACCGGUGUCGCUGUUGGCAGCCGCUUUCUAGUGCCCGUUAGCCUGGCACGAGGCUCACACCCGACACUCACCAGCCGGUGCCCUGGCCUUCUCUGCCGCCCACUCUGGCCCGGCUCCCAGCGCCUGCACAGCCUCAGCCUGGGGUCAGGAUGACCUCGCUCCCUCCGGCCUGCAGGGCAGCUCCCCCAGGCCCUGCCUCGGGCUCCUCUUCCGUCUAGGGCAGAGGCUUCUGGGAAGCGGCAGCAAAACCUGGCAGCUCCCCUGGCCCAGCUCACGCGGCUCCCGUGCCCUUCCUCAGACCUUGGCUGAUGUGACCCCGUUACCACACAGACGGGGACCUGUGAUCUGGUGGGGGCAGAAUGUCUGACUUCUGGCAGUCGGGGCUCCUGCAGAGUUCAGACCCCGAAUCCAGGACUCUGCUUUCUUGUUGUUUUUGGAACAGGGCUGGGUUUCGGGCACCUGUUUGCGGGGUGCCACAAUCGAGCCCUAACACAGGCUUUGGAGCUGGGUUCGAAUCUGUCUCUACCUUGCUGGCUGUCUGAGCUGAGUCCUGUCCCUGACCCCCCCUGGCCUCAGUUUCCUCUUCUGUAGAAUGGUCUGCUGGUUGCUCUCAGCUGCGGGACGUUUGGGAGGCCCAGACCGACAUCCUGCGGGCCCCUGCUGCCCCCAGCCCCGGCCGGCCAGCUGUGUGCCUCUGGACCCGGGUACCCGGCCUCUCCAGGCCCUCCUGGCCACCUCCCCGCCGCCGUGCCACCGCCCCGACACCGCCUGCUGUUCUUGUUCUGCUUCAUGACGUCUCUGUCCCCCUCCUGGCCCCGCUUCUCCAGAACCAGCUUGUUUUUGUUUUCUGUUUUUACGGCUCCAUAAAUGAGUCACGGGCCUGAUUUGAUUUAAUUUUGUUGUAAUUGUUAUCUUUUCGAGCUUGUUUUUUUCCACCGGUUACUCACAAGACCACAAAACCUAAACAGGACGGGGCCUUCCCUGACCAGGCCCCUGCUCCUCGGGGACGGGGACCAGCGUCCUCGCUCCUGGAGAGCCGGGGGCGGGGUGGCUGCUGGGGUGAGGCCAGGCGAGUUCCUGCCGCCUCCGUCCUGCAGCCCUUUCCCCAGAGUCCUGAAAACCUCGGACCCCCUGUGCCAGGAGGUGGCUGAGGGACCCGGGUGAGCUGCAGAGAGCCAGCCUGCCCUGGGACGGUCGCUGCUCAGCCAGCUCGUGGCCCAGAUCCUUCCACUUCUUAGCAGAAGCCAGCAUCUGAGGUCGUCCGCAGAGUCCUGAUGCACAAAUGCUGGCCAAGAAAUCAGAUGAAAAGCAAAUAAACAAAACCCCGCUCCACGGCUUUGUGUGGCCCUCGGCCUCUCUGGUUUUGAAGGUUCUGGGCGGGCUGGCCUUGCCCACCCUGCACACUCGGGGCCCUUCCCUCCCUGGGGAAGUCUGUCCUCCUCUGCCUCGGUGGUGCCCGGCCUCGGGGCACUGGCUUCUCCUGUCCUCCUGUGGCUGCCCGGGUCACCGUGUUAGGGACCAACAUUUUAGCCAUUCCCCCAGUGACUCUGGCCCGCGUGGAUGGGCAGCGGCUUCGGUGCCUGUAUUUUUCGUACCUGGUUCU